AAAGGAGAAAUCCGGUGUUAAAUGGACUUUUGGUGUAGUAAAACAUAAAACGGAGCACACCUCCGUUCACAGCGUUCCAAGAUCCGGGGCAAAUUAUGCCCAGUGUCACCCAGUCUGAAGGGUGUUUGGAUAGACUGUUCAAAGUUCUGGAUCUCGGGACGCUGUGGAAGAAUGGAGGAGUGCUAUUCAUCAAAGAAUCUGGAAAAGGAACAGAAGAAAAAUGUAUAAACAGUGUGUCUCCAAAAUGUGACGUCUCAGCUGGGAUAUGACACACUCUUUGUCCCAAGAUCAAACUUACCCUUCCUGCAAAGCUGCGGCGAAAGAUGAAGAAGAUGUGAAAAAGAUAACGCAGGAAGAAGAGUGGUGAAGGCUGCACCAGCAGAGAGGAGAAAAUGUCAGAGUUUAAUUAGAAGGUGCGUCAGUGAGGUAUGGGUGCUCGUAAUUAUCACAUCCAGCUCCAGUCUGCCCUGCAGCAGGGGCUACACAUGGUGCCAUUAUGAAAGGUAAAUUCAAUAAAGCGUUCACUCCCAAAGAAAUUUCUGGUCUAAUGUGUGGUGAUGGCGGAAAGAGAGAGAGUCUUCUUUCUCUCCAGCGUAGCCUCUUGUAAGUGCUCUCGUAACACUCGUUAGCGGUCUGGACCUCACGUGUAUUCUUUAAAAAAAAAGAAUAGAAGUUAACUGGCCCUAAAGCCCCUGAAACCUGUUUUAAAGAAGAUCUAAUACACUUAAUAUGGUUUUACUGUUAUCAAACUAUGAGAACUGGUCAUAAACUUAAUAGUAAUUUGGGGACAAUUGGUGAAAUUUAAGAUGUAUUAAUCUUCAUUUAGGGUAUGGAGCACCCCAGCUGUAACAUUUGGUUUAAUAUAUUGACUAUUUUUUGGUGUUGAGUAUAGCAUGUCGUUGUUGUCCAAUAAAAAAACAAGUAUCUCUAUUUUUGUCAAUUUGUAGUUUACUACAUAAUUUGAACAGACAAACUGUUCCUUACACUGUGCCAAAAUUUCUUGAUAAACGGACCAAUACAUUGACUUCCAUUGAAUGUUUAGAAGAAUUUUUGUUUUUCUUUGGAGAGUGACAAUAUGGUUGCUGUCCUCUGUAUGCAGUAUGCUGUUGGCUUUUCUUGUCAAUUCCAUUUCUAAUGUGUUUAGCUUAGGUCUGAGGUCAUUUUUGAAGAAUUUAGCAUAGCCUAAAUACCUGCUAACUUAUAUAUUACCUAUAUAUAUAUAUAAUAAAUGAUUUGAAUUGAGCUAGAAAUGUCUAUCAGAAUGGUACACAGUGAAAUGCAGGAAAAACACAAUGCAGGAAAGUGUUACUUCCAACAGUGACAUCAUGGUGGUUCACUCCUGGUAAGCAA